rnacentral:ribozyme from 1 species
UGCCCAGCAACUCCUAUCCCUAACUCCUCGAGGUACUGGCCGGGGUACGAGUAACCUUAGGGAAAG